AAAAAUCCGCGCGGUUGCACGGAUCGAGAUCUAGUAUUUGUUAAUUGUUUUGUUAAUACAAUUUUAUAAAUAAAAAGAAAAGGUAAAAUACAAAAAAAAAACAUACGUUAACCUACUUUUCACUCUCUUCUCUUGUUUACUCCGCCGAAAGCUUCCUCUUCUCUUCAAUGGUGAUUUCUUCUUCUUCACACGGUUAAAAUAUGUCAUCGCUGUUCUCUAUUUCUUCUUUCCUGUUUUUUUUUCUAUGUUUUCUCUUCCUAGUAUUUGUUCUUCGUCGUUUUGUUGCACUUCCAUGGCAGUCCACCUUCGUUUUCUUCGGCUAAAUCAUACUCCAAACCUUCAAUUGCAUCAAAUUCAUCUACCUCUCGAUCAAUAUAUGUUUUUUUUUUCUCAUUCACUUAGAGCCCUAUAUUUAGAUUGGUUUGAUUUUCAUCUCUUUUAAUGGACUGUUCACAUUUUUUAUGAGCUUAUGAAUACUGAUAUUCACUGGAUUAUACGCUCAAACCAACCUUUAACUGAUGAUCAUUGCUGGGUUGUAUUCUCGGUGAAACAAUGACAAGAGAGCUUUUGUUUCCGGUUAAGAACUCUCUUUCUCUUACUGUGAUUCUCAAGGAUUCAAGCUUGGGGUUCUUAAGGAGUGACAACACAAGGAGAUAAGGAGAUACGUUAGACAGCUUCCACAGUACCCUGAGACAAAGUCAAGUUCAAUCCUCAAGACUAACAGCAAGAAUAAACUCAUCACAAUGCUCGUUUUGUCUUGCUCUGUUUUCGUUAUAGAAUCUCUGAUAAGUUAUGAUUAUGUCUGUAAUAUGAAAGAACACAAUGAGAAAUUGAAAAAAAGGAACAGCCUUUAAGCUGUGUGCGCAAAA